rnacentral:rRNA from 1 species
UACAGAGGUCUCAAGUGUUGUUCGGAUUCAUUGGGCGUAAAGGGUGCGUAGGUGGCGCGCUAAGUCAGGUGUGAAAUUUCGGAGCUUAACUCCGAAACUGCAUUUGAUACUGGCGUGCUUGAGGACUGGAGAGGAGACUGGAAUUCAUGGUGUAGCAGUGAAAUGCGUAGAGAUCAUGAGGAAGACCAGUGGCGAAGGCGGGUCUCUGGACAGUUCCUGACACUGAGGCACGAAGGCCAGGGGAGCAAACGGG